rnacentral:rRNA from 1 species
UUAGUGGCGGACGGGUGAGUAACGCGUGGAAAACCUGCCGUAUACUGGGGGAUAACACUUAGAAAUAGGUGCUAAUACCGCAUAAGCGCACAGCUUCGCAUGAAGCGGUGUAGAAAAACUCUGGUGGUAUACGAUGGUUCCGCGUCUGAUUAGCUAGUUGGUGGGGUAAUGGCCUACCAAGGCAACGAUCAGUAGCCGGCCUGAGAGGGUGAACGGCCACAUUGGGACUGAGACACGGCCCAAACUCCUACGGAAGGCAGCAG